rnacentral:ncRNA from 1 species
GGUUUUGGUCGCCCACACAGGGCGCCAAGAGGGAAUCAGGUGCAAGACCUGAGCAGUCCCGCUGCUGUGAGUCUCAACGAUUUACGCCAUCCACGAAGCCACUGCAUGUCGCCAUAGGCAUGUGGGAAGGAGGAGGGCGGGAGACGAGCCAGAAGACCUGCCAAAACCGA